rnacentral:rRNA from 1 species
AUUGAACGCUGGCGGCAUGCUUUACACAUGCAAGUCGAACGGUAACAGGGUGCUUGCACCGCUGACGAGUGGCGAACGGGUGAGUAAUGCGUCGGAACGUGCCGAGUAGUGGGGGAUAACGCAGCGAAAGUUGUGCUAAUACCGCAUACGUACUGAGGUAGAAAGUGGGGGACCUUCGGGCCUCACGCUAUUCGAGCGGCCGACGUCUGAUUAGCUAGUAGGUGAGGUAAAGGCUCACCUAGGCGACGAUCGGUAGCGGGUCUGAGAGGAUGAUCCGCCACACUGGGACUGAGACACGGCCCAGACUCCGACGGGAGGCAGCAGUGGGGAAUUUUGGACAAUGGGCGAAAGCCUGAUCCAGCCAUGCCGCGUGUCUGAAGAAGGCCUUCGGGUUGUAAAGGACUUUUGUCAGGGAGGAAAUCCCUAGUGCUAAUAACACUGGGGGAUGACAGUACCUGAAGAAUAAGCACCGGCUAACUACGUGCCAGCCGCCGCAGUAA